rnacentral:lncRNA from 1 species
AGAUUGUAAGGGACAAAAACCUUUACCUUCAAAAACUAGAGCAUUUCUUCCUUUCCAGUUCCAGAUAUGCCAAAGUAUCCAAGGAAACAUUCGAGCAAUUUCUGAAGGCAAGGAUUUUGAUUUGCUUGCUUUUAGAAGAUGGUAAAAAUUUGAGAACACAGACCUUGAAAAAACUUCUGUAAGCGGUUGAGGGAAAAGCGACACCUUGAAUCCACUUUCAUCCCCCUGGAAACAAUUUUAUCCGCAACAGGGAGGGACUCAGAGAGCAUUUUCCAAAUAAAAGUCUUGAUUUUUGGAGAAGUUUUUAAGGACCAAACCUCUGAUUUUAGAUGAUUUAACGAGGGCAUCACAGAAGCUUCAAACUUAAGCUGAGAGUUGGUAAUUUGAUUUUGCAACCAGUAGCAUGAUUUCACAGAAUACUCCCCACUUCUGUUACGUCCCCAAACCCAGAAAUCAUCUUUGAAAACAACUGGUCUUGUUUGCAGAAUGCACUUGAUAUCUGCAGGAUAGAAAAGAUUUUCCAGUUUUUCUCUGUUUCAAUCUCUAUUUUGGAAGUCAAUCAGAUCACUUACCAAGAGAUCAAUAUCAAUAACUGGAUUCUUUAUCAGCGGUGCUUGCAUAUUUCCUCCCU